UUAUCCAAUUCCAAUCGAUCGAUCGAUCGAUUGACCGAUUGCUAUGGCAAGCAGCAAGACUCGAUUGGUGUGCCUUGGUUGUGAUGUUUGUGAUGCUCCUGGCGGUGGGAGUGGAGGUCGGGGGGAUCACCAAGGCGGUGGCGCAGCGCUGCCGCAGGGGAUGGUACUGGAAUGGAUCUCGCUGCGUGCAAUGCAAUUGGUACUGGUAUGACAACGGCUGCCAUCGAUGCCAGCGUGGGUGGCGCUGGAAUGGCAGCCGCUGCGUCAAUUAAUGAAAGUUUGUGAGUGAUCUCUGGGGCCUGGAACCAUAGGAGCGAAUGUCGAAUGGGUGAAGAAGUACAUAGAAUAAAACUGUGGCUUCGAAACGAGAAUGUUUUGGAGUCCUAUAGAAUCUUGUGUGAAAUCUAUUCCGAUGUUCAGGCUCUGAGACUAUCAAUGAUAAAUAUGGUCUGUUUUCUGGAAAGUUGUCAGCCACAAUUAAAAGUGUAUUUAUACCUAUAUUACUGCCCUUUAAAGGCUUUUGGGUGAUGUUAACAAGUUUCUGCUAGCAUUGUUUGCAGAUAACUUUGCCGUUUGCUAGACUUGGUCUUAAUUUGGUUUUCUAAAUACAUAGUACUCUCGAUAAUACGGAAGUAAAGCUAUUUGUCCUUCCACAUCGACUUGACAAAGUCUGUCGUAGCUACACUGGUUAGCUAGCUCUGGAGACAUGUCUAUAUUAUAAUGUUGUUAGUGUUAUAUUGAUCGUGAGCCAAGCGUAAUCUUUAGAGAUUAAUAGAGAAAAUAUAUUACGCAGCUCAAACUAUUCUAAUGCCAGUUUUUCUGGCAACGGUGGCAGCCAUUGUCAUAAUAAACCACUGGGAAACAACCAAAUUCCGAUUCUUCCCACGUCAGCGUUUGUGAUCCACUCCCAUUACCAGGAGCACUUGUCCAUCGCCAUUGCUGCCACUCUGCAAGAGAAAAGAACAAAAAACCAUAAUCAAUCAAUACAAGUUUCCUUUCAGAUGAUCUUGGAUUCUUGUUCUUUUCGACUAUAUAGCAAAGCAAGACUCAACUGGUUUGCCUUGGGCUUGUUGCCAUGUUUGUGGCCAUGGGAGUGGACAUGCGAGGAAUCGCAAAGGUUGCUGCCAAGCGCUGCCAGUGGUACUGGUAUGGCAAUGGUUGUCACCGGUGCCCAAAAAGCUGGUAUUGGUAUGGCGGAAGUUGCCACUGAUGCCAGAGCGCCCCUGCUGGAAAAACAGAGAUCUCCGGGAUCAUGGAUAAGCACAAGAAUUAACAGCAUAACUCGUAAGGUUUUUCAUGUUCACCAGGAUCUUCUGAAUAUCUAUGCUGUUGUUUUAGAUCUUGUGUAUUAGAAUUAAAAAAAAAAUUCAUCCAAUGUAAAAAUGUUUUUUGUGUGAUCAGGUCAUUCAGCUUUUCUUGGGUGGCGGUUGUUUCUCUCCUUUUGUCAUGUUGGUGUUGUUAUGUAGCAAACUGAAUAGCAAGAAUAAUUGAUGCCGUAAACACAAAUACCAGUUUACGGCAUCAAUAGUUCUAGUAGAUCUAUACCAGUAUUUUAUUGUUUGGCGGUUUUUGGCCGGCGCCUGAUCUGCAAGCUCCAAAACCCAACCCGAUCAAGCCAAGAAAAAGCAAUAAUUUCAAGAGUAUGUGGCUUUGUCCUAACUAAAUAAUGUACUAGAAGCUCAUAAUAUAGUGGAUACGAACGCAUGUUGUACCAGAGAUCAGGUCAAGUUGUGUUGGAACAAACAUAAAACUACUAAAAAUUGUAUGAUUCAUUGAAAGAGUGAACAGAAGAAUCAUAUUCUUAUCAAUAUUUCUUCUUUCUGCUCCAAGUAUUAUAGGUCAAGUCGCGGAGGUAAUGGAGAAGUUGGUUUGCCACGAGAGACUUUUAAUUCAAAGAGUGUUGGAAACAAAGGUAUGCUCUCGAUCUGCGUCCCAGUGAUCGAUUAGAUCCAAUCUUUUGUUAAAGUAAAUAUAAUAUACGACCAUAAUAUUAACAGACUUCGUCAAAUCGAGAAGGAAGAAAACAAGAUUGGAAAGCUUUUUUUCCAUAUUACCUCGUCGUACUUAGGAAACCAAGUUGUCAACGAAUUUGAUCCUUCCCAAGACCAAGUCUCCAAGUAAAAUCCGCGCGUCAACCGCUGCCAAAAAACCACGAGGAAACUUUCUCGGUUGUUAUAGAGAGACUCCCUCUUCUAUCCAGAGGAUCCGCAAAGACUCGUUGUUCUUUUUACUUGCAGUAGCAGUGUGUUCAGAGGUAGGAUCUGGUCCAGCUACAAUUCGGACUUAUCUAAGUCUUGACGUGUACACAGUAGCACCCAGGAGGUAGUACCCAGGAGGCAGAUUUGAAUCUGAUCUCUUUUCCAGACUAAGUCUAGCUAACACGAUUGCUCGGUCGUUGCAAGGGGCGUAUAUAUAACGCGCCUCACUCGAUCAAGACGAAAUCACCACACUUUCACUUCUCUUAUAAUCCACAGGUUUUACUCUUAGAGUGGCAGCAAUAGCGAUGGACAAAAUUCGUCUGGCUUGCCUUGGGCUUGUUGCCAUGUUUGUGUUGCUCCUGGUAAUGGGAGUGGACGUGGGAGGAAUCGCAAACGCUGCUGCCCAGCGCUGCCAGUCGGGGUGGUAUUGGUAUGACAAUGGUUGCCACCGUUGCCCGAGGGGUUCGAGCUGGCGCAACAAUCGCUGCUGGAGAAACUGAAGCCUCUGCUUUUAAGGGUAAGCGCAAUUCUCAAUUCAACUCGUAAUCUCUAUGAGUGCAUUGCCAGGGUCUGGAAAUAAGAAUAAAAGACACCGGACGGUAACAUGUUUGUGUGGAACAAAUAAAAUUUUUUUUUGUCUUUUUCUUUCUUUUUUUUCUUUUUUGCUUCAUCUCGAGAGUUUUGAGCUCCCGUGGCAAUACUUCCUCAUCGUCUAGCAACCUUUCUUCUUGGUUUACAAACUAGAAAAUUAAGCUUUUUGGAUCAAUGGCUCAUCUUCGUGUUGGGAAUGGAACCCAUGUUAUGAGACAACCACAUGAUUUGCAGCUGGAAGUAACUCGCAUGAUGAAGGCGGCUACGAACGCAUUAUCGAGCAACAUCAGGUUCGAGAUAGUCGGAGGACCUCUUUCUUUUCGAUUCGGUGCCACAGAUAAUCACGCAAGUAGCAGGAUGACUCAUGCCUCGAGGUGAGACAAUCGAUGCUACUGGCUGAUCGCAAAUUGAUCGACCACGUGGUAGAAGUGAUUCCAAACACUCCAGCCAAAUUUUCAUUAAUAUCAUAUAUUAAAUCGACAAUAAGAGCUGAGGGUGUCUAUAUACUCGAGCAACUAUUGCCUGAUAAAUCUAACCAGAAUUAUAUAACAUUAAAAUAGCAUUAAUAAUGAAAUUAACAUUAUAUUAUAGAGAUAUAUGAGUGUAUACUAUUAAGUCGAUGUGGAACGACGAAAAGCGUAUUAGAAAACCAAAUUGUCAAUAAAUCUGAUCCUUCCCAAGACCAACCGAUGAGCCACAAAGUUACCCACAAACAAUGCACGUGGAAACUUGCUUCGUCGCAAGGUGAGUAUAUAGAUACCCCUCUCAGGAGAGGUUUCCACAAUCUCUCUUCUAACAGAUUCAGUGCUCAGAAGAUCUUCGAAGAAGCUCUCUAAUGCUUAUUUGGUUUCUUGUUCUUUUCGCUUGCAAUAGCGGUCCAGCGAUGAGGAAGAGUCAGUUGGUUUGCCUUGGGCUUGUUGCCAUGUUUGUGAUGAUGCUGGCCAUGGGAGUGGAAGGGGGAGGAAAGGUUGCUGCCCAGCGCUGCCAGAGAGGGUGGUACUGGUAUUACAAUGGUUGUCAUGACUGCCCGAAAUGCUGGUAUUCCAAAGCGGCUGGAGCUGGGCCAAUGGCCGCUGCUGGAAAAACUUAGAUAUCCGUAGUCAUGCCAAAAGUCUAUCAACAUCAUAAUUCGGAAGGUUUUGUUUGAAUGAUGUAAGAUCCUCCUAAAUCCUAAUUAGGAUAAAACGAUUGUUUGUGAUCUGUUUAAUUUCAUCUGGAGUAGAUUCUUGUCUCCAGUCACGGAGCUUUUCUUGCGUGGCAAUUCUUUGGUUGUUAUAUAGCAAACAGAACAGCAAGAAUUAUGUUACUGAUCUUUAAGUUUUUUGCGGUAUUUGGCCAGCGCUGGUGUUCGGAUAAGAUAAGAAUUGCCUGGUCUGCAAGCUCCAAAAACCGAUCAAGCCAAGAGAAUCUGGUGUAUGUGGUUUUGUCCUUUAAAGUCCACAGGAAUGUACUAACACGAACGCAUGUUGUACAAGAGAUCAGGCCAAGUUGGAACAAACGUAUUACUAAAAACUAUAUGAUUUAUCGAAAGAGUGAACAGAAUUACAUAGCUAGCCAAUGGUCAUAUUUUUAUUCUUUCGUUGGUCCAAGUCAAACAGUGUAAAAGUCUGUAAAGAAAAAAACACAUUGGUGGCAACACUGCUCUUCUCGACAAGCUCUCACAGCUCUACAGUCGCUUCCAACUGUAACAGCGUAAAUUCCAGCACACCAGACUUUUCAAGGCCUGUGCGAAUGCAUUGAGAAAGAGGUCUCUGGAAACACCUGCAGUAACGAAGUAAUUUAAGACUUUCGUGCGCUACCGUUUAUGAGAAGCACAGCGAGCUCCAUGAGCAGCAAAGGACCCCCUACAAACAAAGACAUUGAGAAGAUGGAAACAAAAACUAAGAGAGAAAUACCUGUGAGAGUGAGCUCAUGCGAGACAAGCACCACAAUCCUUCCACGCAUAAAAUGUAGGCCAUGGGAAGGAGUAUCGCGCCGCUCCCUCACUCACCAAAAGAAGCCCUAGAAAUCCAAAUGCCGCGACCCCCGAGCUUGAGAAGCGAUCGCAAUCCCACCUUGCGCUUGAUCGCUCCUAUUCCCGUCUAAAGAACAAAGAAAAAGAUCUGCAAUCCUGACCGUUCAAACUCAGCGUUGGCGAUUAUGCCAAGUGGCAACCGAUUUUAACAAAUGCAAACCUUAAUUGAGUCUUUUCAAAUGGUGGGCGCGAAUUGUAAUGAAAGACUUUGGCCUGGAGCCGCGCGGUCUUUGUAUCUAUCCACACACUCUCGACGCUAUAUAAACACCACAUCUCUUACAAUCCCCCACACUCUCUCUAGUGCUCCUUUGUUCUUUCGCUUUGGUUUGCUCUUUCUCUCUUCUCCAAUUCCAAUCAAUCAAUCAAUCGAUUGACCGAUUGCUAUGGCAAGCAGCAAGACUCGAUUGGUGUGCCUGGGCCUGGUUGUGAUGUUUGUGAUGCUCCUGGCGGUGGGAGUGGAGGUCGGGGGGAUCACCAAGGCGGUGGCGCAGCGCUGCCGCAGGGGAUGGUACUGGAAUGGAUCUCGCUGCGUGCAAUGCAAUUGGUACUGGUAUGACAACGGCUGCCAUCGAUGCCAGCGUGGGUGGCGCUGGAAUGGCAGCCGCUGCGUCAAUUAAGGAAAGUUUGUGAGUGAUCUCUGGGGCCUGGAACCAUGGGAGCGAAUGUCGAAUGGGUGAAGAAGUACAUAGAAUAAAACUGUGGCUUCGAAACGGGAAUGUUUUGGAGUCCUUGUGUGAAAUCUAUUCCGAUGUUCAGGCUCUGAGAUUAUCAAUGAUAAAUAUGGUGUGUUUUCUGGAAAGUGGUUGUCGCAGUGUAACGUUCGCAAAAUGCAUGCAUUUUUAAUAUAUAACUUUGCAUGCGAUUUCAUA
rnacentral:lncRNA from 1 species